CACGUAGGGGCCAAGCGUUGUCCGGAUUCAUUGGGCGUAAAGAGCUCGUAGGCGGUUCAGUUAGUCGGGUGUGAAAUCUCCGGGCUCAACCCGGAGGGGCCACCCGAUACUGCUGUGACUCGAGUCCGGUAGGGGAGUGGGGAAUUCCUGGUGUAGCGGUGAAAUGCGCAGAUAUCAGGAGGAACACCGGUGGCGAAGGCGCCACUCUGGGCCGGUACUGACGCUGAGACGCGAAAGCGUGGGGAGCGAACAGG
rnacentral:rRNA from 1 species